rnacentral:rRNA from 1 species
AUAAGACAUGCAAGUCGAGCGAUGAUCCAACGAUAGCAAUAUUGGAGGGGAUUAGCGGCGAACGGGUGAGUAACACGUAGGAAUCUGCCCUGAAGUUCGGAAUAGCCCGUCGAGAGACGGGAUAAUACCGGAUGUGAUCUUCGGAUUAANNNNNNNNNNNNNNNNNNNNNNNNNNNNNNNNNNNNNNCAGCUUGUUGGUAGGGUAAAAGCCUACCAAGGCGAGGACGGAUAGCUGGUCUGAGAGGACGGCCAGCCACAAUGGAACUGAGACACGGUCCAUACACCUACGGGUGGCAGCAGUCGAGAAUCAUUCACAAUGGGCGAAAGCCUGAUGGUGCGACGCCGCGUGGGGGAUGAAGGCCUUCGGGUCGUAAACCCCUGUCGGUUGUGAGUAAAGCCCGGUUCGAAUCGGGUCUGAUAUUAGCAACAAAGGAAGGGGCGGCUAACUCCGUGCCAGCAGCCGCGGUAAUACGGAGGCCCCAAGCGUUGUUCGGAUUUACUGGGCGUAAAGCGUGCGUAGGCGGCAUGGUAAGUUUGGCGUGAAAUCCCCGGGCCCAACCCGGAAAUUGCGCUGGAAACUAUCUAGCUAGAGGUGUGGAGGGGAGUAUGGAAUUCCCGGUGUAGCAGUGAAAUGCGUAGAUAUCGGGAGGAACACCAGUGGCGAAGGCGAUACUCUGGACACAUUCUGACGCUGAGGUACGAAGGCUAGGGGAGCGAAGAGGAUUAGAUACCCUCGUAGUCCUAGCAGUAAACGGUGUGCACUUGCUGUGGGGGGAUUCGACCCCUUCCGUGGCGAAGCUAACGCAUUAAGUGCACCGCCUGGGGAGUACGGCCGCAAGGUUAAAACUCAAAGAAAUUGACGGGGGCCUGCACAAGCGGUGGAGCAUGUGGCUUAAUUCGAUGCAACGCGAAGAACCUUACCUGGGCUUGACAUGUUUGUCGUAGUCCCGUGAAAGCGGGACGUCAGUUCGGCUGGACAAUCACAGGUGCUGCAUGGCUGUCGUCAGCUCGUGUCGUGAGAUGUUGGUUUAAGUACCGCAACGAGCGCAACCCCUGUGUCCUGUUGCCACGGAGAACACGUUUCUCCAGCACUCUGGACAGACUGCCCCAUUUUUAGUGGGGAGGAAGGUGGGGAUGACGUCAAGUCAGUAUGGCCCUUACGCCCAGGGCUGCACACGUGCUACAAUGCCCGGCAUAAUGGGAAGCGAAAUCGCGAGAUGGAGCCAAUCCCCAAAACCGGGCCCAGUUCGGAUUGGAGUCUGCAACUCGACUCCAUGAAGUUGGAAUCGCUAGUAACGGCGCAUCAGCUACGGCGCCGUGAAUACGUUCCCAGGCCUUGUACACACCGCCCG